GCUUAGCCUUAAACUUUGAUAGAGAAAUACAACCACUAUCCGCCCGGUUACUACGAGCACCAGCUUAAAACCCAAAGGACUUGGCGGUGCUUUAGAUCCACCUAGAGGAGCCUGUUCUAGAACCGAUAAUCCCCGUUAAACCUCACCCUCUCUUGUUUAUCCCGCCUAUAUACCGCCGUCGUCAGCUCACCCUGUAAAGGUCCAAUAGUAAACGGAACUAGCAUAGCUCAAAACGCCAGGUCGAGGUGUAGCAUAUGAGAGGGGAAGAAAUGGGCUACAUUUUUUGAUUUCAAAACAUUACGGAUAAUGUAAUGAAAAAGCAUUUUAAGGAGGAUUUAGCAGUAAGCAAUAAAUAGAGUGUAUUGCUGAAACUGGCCCUGAAGCGCGC
rnacentral:rRNA from 1 species